GACACGGAGCCGAAGCGAAAGCGAGUCUUAAUAGGGCGACUAGUAACAUGGUGUAGACCCGAAACCGCAGUGAUCUAUCCAUGGUCAGGUUGAAGCGCAGGUAAAAAUGCGUGGAGGACCGAACCCGUGAGUGUUGAAAAACUUUGGGAUGAACCGUGGAUAGGGGUGAAAUGCCAAUCGAACGCGGAGAUAGCUGGUACUCCCCGAAAUAGCUUUAGGGCUAGCCUCAGGGAAGAUUAUAGACGGUAGAGCACUGAUCUGGCAAGGGGGCGUAAAGCCUACCGACCCUAGUCAAACUUCGAAUGGCUAUAAUUAAGACCCUGGGAGUCAGACUGCGAGUGAUAAGACCCGUAGUCAAGAGGGAAACAGCCCAGACCGCCGACUAAGGUCCCCAAUGCUGUACUAAGUGGAAAAGGAUGUAAGACUUCAUAAACAACCAGGAUGUUGGCUUAGAAGCAGCCACCAUUAAAAGAGUGCGUAAUAGCUCACUGGUCGAGAGGCCUUGCGCCGAAGAUGUCCGGGGCUCAAGUACAGAACCGAAGUCGCGGCAGGAUUAUAUAAUUCUGGGUAGGGGAGCGUUGUAUAUCCGACUGAAGGUGUACCGGAAGGAGCGCUGGAGGAUAUACAAGAGAGAAUGCCGGUAUGAGUAGCGAAAAGAACAGUGAGAAUCUGUUCCACCGAAAGCCUAAGGUUUCCUGAGCAACGCUCGUCGACUCAGGGUAAGUCGGGACCUAAGCCGAGGCAAAAAGCAUAGGCGAUGGACAACAGGUUAAUAUUCCUGUACCGCUUCAAAUCGUUUGAGCAAUGGAGUGACACAGAAGGUAGCUUGAGCACGCGAAUGGAUGUGCGUGUCGAAGGUGGUAGGUUGCAGUAUAGGUAAAUCCGUACUGUAUAAGACCGAGAACUGAUAGAUAGACGAUACUUCGGUAAAGUCAAAUUCAAGUGAGCCAUGCUGUCGAGAAAAGCUUCUAGUGAGAGAUGAGGCGCCCGUACCGAAACCGACACAGGUAGGCGGGGAGAGAAUCCUAAGGUGCGCGGGACAACCCUCGUUAAGGAACUCGGCAAAUUGUAUCCGUAACUUAGGGAUAAGGAUAGCCGGAGGAUGUGAAGGGAUUUACUUCUGGAGCGUCAGCCGGUGGCACAAGAGAGGCCCAAGCGACUGUUUAGCACAAACACAGGUGCCUGCAAAAGAGAAAUCUGACGUAUAGGUGCUGACACCUGCCCGGUGCUGGAAGGUUAAGAGGAGGGCUUAGAGGAAACUCGAAGGCUUGAAUUGAAGCCCCAGUAAACGGCGGCCGUAACUAUAACGGUCCUAAGGUAGCGAAAUUCCUUGUCGGGU
rnacentral:rRNA from 1 species